GCGUUGUAGUGUGGUGUAACGAAUUGUUCCAGUCCUGAAAACGAAAGAAAUAUAUUUCUUUUAAUGUGUACAACUUUAUUUACUUUAUCCCAUAGAAAAUUCCCUCCAAAGUAAUCUACAGCAACAGAGUGCAGUACAAUACCACAAGUUUUCCAGCCAAAUGCGAAAAUUCCACACCUUUAUCACGAGGAAAUCUGCAAUGGCAUUUAGGAAUGACAAAUAGAAGCUCAACUAUUCGAAGCAGGAGACCGAAGAGAAAAAAGGAAGAGAGA